GUGUUAGUCAGUAUGUGUAGUGUCUUUGUGUGUGAAUGUGUGUGAGUGUGUGGGUGUAUAUCUGUCAGUGUGUGUAAAUGUGCGUAGGUGGGCUUGGGCUCCAAUGUUGUCGUAGUAGUAAUGGUAGUAGUGGUAGUAGCAGUUGUGUCAGUGGCAGCAGUAUUAGUAGCAGUAACAGUACUACUAGUAGUUUUAGAAACAUUAGUAGUAGCAGUAGGAGUAGCUGUAGUAGCAGUAGUAACACUAGAACCAUGAGCAAUAGUAACAAUAGUAGUAGUAGUUAUGCUGUAUUUCAAAUCUUUAGUUCAACAAUAUAGUAAAGCUGUGUUGGAGCUUCACUUUAAUAAUUGCAGCAGCAGGAGCAGAAGAGCAGGAGUCAAACAACAAAAAGAAAACAUCAGUACUUGUUAAUAGACCAAGGCUGAACAGUGAGAACACGGCUCACAUCCUUCUUAUUAAUAGUAGCAGAAGUAGUAGCAGUGUCAGCAGUAGCAGCAGUAACAGUAGUACCUGCAGCAGUAGGAACAGUAGUACUAGUAGCUUUAGUAGUAGUAGUAGUAAAAUAUUACUAGUUGCUGUUAUAUCAGUGGCAGUAGUAGUAGUAGCUGUCAUAGUUGUAGUAGCAGUAUUAGUGGUAGUAAUAGCAGCAGUAAUAUUUGUUGCAGCUUCACCAUAAUAACUACAGGAGCAGAAGAGCAGGAGUCUGUUUCAAAGUAUUAAAAAACAACAAAAUGAUUAACUAGAAACAAUCAGUUCUUGUUAAUACAGCUGAACAGCUGUGAUUUAAGGCCACAAUUCCUGCUGGGCUAGCAUGGAAAAAUGUCAUAUAAUGAUAUGACAGCAUAUUUUUAGAGAGGGACAUAUUAUCUUCAGUAAAACUGCACUAUCUCUUCACUCCCCUGUCUUUAGGAAAUGGGCCUGUUUCGACAGAGCUUUACUGGAACUGCAGCUGUUACGAAUCGCCUUUAUUAUUGGAGAUGUUAUAUCUGUAAGAUGUUAUAUCCUGGGCUCCGGACAGGAGUCUCCUCCAGCGGAGACAUGUCUGCUCCAUCAGAACGAGCGCUGUGACGUCACGGUCACCAGCCAGAGCACCAGGAUCAGAGAGCGAGACCGCGGGAGGCAAGCGGAGCGCACGGAGGAGAGUUAUUGAUCACUUAUCUAUCGACAACUAAUUGAUUCAACUGAAGAACCGUAGAAUAAUUGAUUAACUUCACGGAUUGUAUGGUAACCACAGCAACAGGCGCCACGUCACUGUCCACGGCUAGGUGUCUCGCCUUUGUCACAAAGAGUGGUGUGACGUCACGGACAGCAACUAAUACUAAUAUUAGUGUCUUCAUGUUAAUAUUAGUGUGUUGAGGUCCAGAGUCACUUGUGAAUGGAACCACUUUCCAGACCCACGUCCAGAGAUCUCCCAUGCAUGCUGACACAGCUACUUACUUAAAUUACCAUCAGCUGUGGACCUCCAACUGACCUGAGAGAUAUCUACUUAGACGAGAGGAGCACGAUGGAGUACCAAAAACUUGAAAAAGCUCUCGCAGUUAGAUUCUGUGUUUUUGUUGUUCCCCAGAUAUGUUUUUAAUGUUGUUUUUCUAUAUGUUUUGAAGUUGUUUCAUUUGUUUGUUUGUUUUUAUAGUUGUUAGACCACUACAGGGAUUUACCUAGGUUCCCAGAAGACUUUUCGUUUUGUGGUUGUUGUUUUUUUCAAGUUACAAUUUUUUUCUAUUGAUAGGACCCCACGCAUUACUGUGGGACUAGUUAACUUUAGUUCUUACAUUCUACCUGAAAUUACCUCAAUAACUACAACUCUUUUUUUCUAUAUGUAACUACAGUUGCUUUCCAGACACCGCAACUAUUCACGAUGAAUCUUAUGAAUACGUCUUUAUGAAUAAUAGUAGUAUUUAUUAAUAAUUAACUUUAAUGUAUAUCUUUAUUAGUAGCUGUAUUACAGGUAAGGCAUGUACAGCAUGUCAGAAAGUUUGACGAAAGGUGUCCCUCUAUACUACUGAUGUUUUCGCCUUCUCUCAGCUUUUUAAAGACUGUCAUAAACGCUCAAGAAGUAAUUAAUUUCAGUUUGAAGUCUGUUUCUGUUGUCUCCGCUUUUGAUGAAGAAAAGCCAUGCGUGGGAGACUCCCUCUCUGAAGAAGUUUGCCGCCACCUUGCAAGGGAGAAGAGCCAUCACCAAAACAACCACUGAGACAAUUAACGUUAAACACGUGAAAUGCAAGAUGUUGUGAUUUUUUUCCCACUUAAGGCUUCUAUCAUUUCUACUCUAACAAGAAAAAACCUCUUUAUUAAAAGUGAGAUUUGAACAAA